rnacentral:rRNA from 1 species
AUUGAACGCUGGCGGCAGGCCUAACACAUGCAAGUCGAGCGGAUGAAGGGAGCUUGCUCCUGGAUUCAGCGGCGGACGGGUGAGUAAUGCCUAGGAAUCUGCCUGGUAGUGGGGGAUAACGUCCGGAAACGGGCGCUAAUACCGCAUACGUCCUGAGGGAGAAAGUGGGGGAUCUUCGGACCUCACGCUAUCAGAUGAGCCUAGGUCGGAUUAGCUAGUUGGUGGGGUAAAGGCCUACCAAGGCGACGAUCCGUAACUGGUCUGAGAGGAUGAUCAGUCACACUGGAACUGAGACACGGUCCAGACUCCUACGGGAGGCAGCAGUGGGGAAUAUUGGACAAAGGGCGAAAGCCUGAUCCAGCCAUGCCGCGUGUGUGAAGAAGGUCUUCGGAUGGUAAAGCACUUUAAGUUGGGAGGAAGGGCAGUAAGUUAAUACCUUGCUGUUUUGACGUUACCAACAGAAUAAGCACCGGCUAACUUCGUG